CCUACGGGGUGCAGCAGUGGGGAAUAUUGGACAAUGGGCGAAAGCCUGAUCCAGCCAUGCCGCGUGUGUGAAGAAGGCCUUCGGGUUGUAAAGCACUUUCAGUGGGGAAGAAAGCCUUGGGGCUAAUACCCUCGAGGAAGGACAUCACCCACAGAAGAAGCACCGGCUAACUCCGUGCCAGCAGCCGCGGUAAUACGGAGGGUGCGAGCGUUAAUCGGAAUUACUGGGCGUAAAGCGCGCGUAGGCGGUCUGAUAAGCCGGUUGUGAAAGCCCCGGGCUCAACCUGGGAACGGCAUCCGGAACUGUCAGGCUAGAGUGCAGGAGAGGAAGGUAGAAUUCCCGGUGUAGCGGUGACAUGCGUAGUGAUCGGGAUGAAUACCAGUGGCGAAGGAGGCCUUCUGGACUGACACUGACUCUGAGGUGCGAAAGCGUGAGUAGCAAACAGGACUAGAUGCCCGAGUAGU
rnacentral:rRNA from 1 species